rnacentral:rRNA from 1 species
UACAGAGGUCUCAAGCGUUGUUCGGAUUCAUUGGGCGUAAAGGGUGCGUAGGCGGCGCGGUAAGUCGGGUGUGAAAGCCCUCAGCUUAACUGAGGAAGUGCGCCCGAAACUACUUGGCUUGAGUACCGGAGAGGGUGGCGGAAUUCCCGGUGUAGAGGUGAAAUUCGUAGAUAUCGGGAGGAACACCAGUGGCGAAGGCGGCCACCUGGACGGAUACUGACGCUGAGACGCGAAAGCGUGGGGAGCAAACAGG